CAAAAUGUAGCUUAACAAAAGCCUUUCGCUUACACCGAAAAGAUGUCCGUGUAACCCAGAUCAUUUUGAG
rnacentral:tRNA from 1 species